rnacentral:rRNA from 1 species
GUGGGGAAUCUUGCGCAAUGGGCGAAAGCCUGACGCAGCCAUGCCGCGUGAAUGAUGACGGUCUUAGGAUUGUAAAAUUCUUUCACCGGGGACGAUAAUGACGGUACCCGGAGAAGAAGCCCCGGCUAACUUCGUGCCAGCAGCCGCGGUAAUACGAAGGGGGCUAGCGUUGCUCGGAAUUACUGGGCGUAAAGGGCGCGUAGGCGGACAGUUUAGUCAGAGGUGAAAGCCCAGGGCUCAACCUUGGAAUUGCCUUUGAUACUGGCUGUCUUGAGUACGGGAGAGGUGAGUGGAACUCCGAGUGUAGAGGUGAAAUUCGUAGAUAUUCGGAAGAACACCAGUGGCGAAGGCGACUCACUGGCCCGUUACUGACGCUGAGGCGCGAAAGCGUGGGGAGCAAACAGGAUUAGAUACCCUAGUAGUCC